CCUACGGGCGACAGCAGUGGGGAAUUUUGGGCAAUGCGCGCAAGCCUGACCCAGCAACGCCGCGUGAAUGAAGAAGGCUUUCGGGUUGUAAACUUCUUUCAAGAGGGAAGAGCAGAAGACGGUACCUCUUGAAUAAGCCACAGCUAACUACGUUCCAGCAGCCGCGGUAAUACGUAGGUGGCAAGCGUUGUACGGAUUUACUGGGGGUAAAGGGCGUGCAGCCGGGAAGACAAGUCAGAUGUGAAAUCCGUCGGCUCAACCGCGGUACUGCAUUUGAAACUGUUUUUCUUGAGUACCGGAGAGGUCAUCGGAAUUCCGUGUGUAGCGGUGAAAUGCGUAGAUAUAAGGAAGAACACCAGUGGCGAAGGCGGAUGACUGGCCGGCAACUGACGGUGAGGCGCGAAAGCGUGGGGAGCAAACAGGAUUAGAUACCCGAGUAGUC
rnacentral:rRNA from 1 species